AUUGAACGCUGGCGGCAUGCCUAACACAUGCAAGUCGAACGGCAGCACAGUAUGUAGCAAUACAUAUGGGUGGCGAGUGGCGGACGGGUGCGUAAUAUGUAGGGAUCUGCCCUGAAGCGGGGGACAACCCGGGGAAACCCGGGCUAAUACCGCAUAAUACUCUACGGAGGAAAUCUGGCACGCAAGUGCUGGGGCUUUAGGAUGAACCUACAUCCGAUUAGCUAGUUGGUGAGGUAAUAGCUCACCAAGGCAAUGAUCGGUAGCUGGUCUGAGAGAAUGACCAGCCACACUGGGACAGAGACACGGCCCAGACUCCUACGGGAGGCAGCAGUGGGGAAUAUUGGACAAUGGGGGAAACCCUGAUCCAGCAAUGCCGCGUGGGUGAAGAAGGCCUUCGGGUUGUAAAGCCCUUUAGGCGGGGAAGAAGGUUAUAGGGUGAUAAGCCUUAUAGCUUGACGGUACCCGCAGAAUAAGCACCGGCUAACUCUGUGCCAGCAGCCGCCGUAA
rnacentral:rRNA from 1 species